GUUCGGAAUUACUGGGCGUAAAGCGUACGUAGGCGGAUUAGUCAGUCAGAGGUGAAAUCCCAGGGCUCAACCCUGGAACUGCCUUUGAUACUGCUAGUCUUGAGUUCGAGAGAGGUGAGUGGAAUUCCAAGUGUAGAGGUGAAAUUCGUAGAUAUUUGGAGGAACACCAGUGGCGAAGGCGGCUCACUGGCUCGAUACUGACGCUGAGGUACGAAAGUGUGGGGAGCAAACAGGAUUAGAUACCCUGGUAGUCCACACCGUAAACGAUGAAUGCCAGUCGUCGGGCAGUAUACUGUUCGGUGACACACCUAACGGAUUAAGCAUUCCGCCUGGGGAGUACGGUCGCAAGAUUAAAACUCAAAGGAAUCGACGGGGGCCCGCACAAGCGGUGGAGCAUGUGGUUUAAUUCGAAGCAACGCGCAGAACCUUACCAACCCUUGACAUCCUAUGACAACCUGAGAGAUCAGGCUUUCCUUCGGGACAUAGUGACAGGUGCUGCAUGGCU
rnacentral:rRNA from 1 species